CCUACGGGUGGCAGCAGUGAGGAAUAUUGGUCAAUGGCCGGAAGGCUGAACCAGCCAUGCCGCGUGAAGGUCAGUGCCCUAUGGGCGUUAAACUUCUUUUGUGCGGGAGCAAUAAUGGUCACGUGUGGCCAGACGAGAGUACCGUACGAAUAAGCAUCGGCUAACUCCGUGCCAGCAGCCGCGGUAAUACGGGGGAUGCAAGCGUUAUCCGGAUUUAUUGGGUUUAAAGGGUGCGUAGGCUGUGAGGUAAGUCAGCGGUGAAAUGCCCCCGCUCAACGGGGUGAAGUGCCAUUGAUCGUGCCUUGCUGGAAUGCGGAUGCCGGGGGAGGAAUGUGUGGUGUAGCGGGGAAAUGCAUAGAUAUCACACAGAACACCGAUUGCGAAGGCAUCUGACGAAUCCGCGAAUGACGCUGAUGCACGAAAGCGUGGGUAUCAAACAGGAUUAGAUACCCCAGUAGUC
rnacentral:rRNA from 1 species